rnacentral:tRNA from 1 species
CGGUGCGCGGUCGGGCAGCGGAACGUGCCGCCUCCGAGGCGGCAGCGGGGCGGCCCGGCCGGCCGCGGCGGGUCACGCCGUGCGUGCCGG